GAUGAACGCUGGCGGCGUGCCUAAUACAUGCAAGUCGAGCGAACGGACGAGAAGCUUGCUUCUCUGAUGUUAGCGGCGGACGGGCGAGUAACACGUGGAUAACCUACCUAUAAGGCUGGGAUAACUUCGGGAAACCGGAGCUAAUACCGGAUAAUAUUUUGAACCGCAUGGUUCAAAAGUGAAAGACGGUCUUGCUGUCACUUAUAGAUGGAUCCGCGCUGCAUUAGCUAGUUGGUAAGGUAACGGCUUACCAAGGCAACGAUGCAUAGCCGACCUGAGAGGGUGAUCGGCCACACUGGAACUGAGACACGGUCCAGACUCCUACGGGAGGCAGCAGUAGGGAAUCUUCCGCAAUGGGCGAAAGCCUGACGGAGCAACGCCGCGUGAGUGAUGAAGGUCUUCGGAUCGUAAAACUCUGUUAUUAGGGAAGAACAUAUGUGUAAGUAACUGUGCACAUCUUGACGGUACCUAAUCAGAAAGCCACGGCUAACUACGUG
rnacentral:rRNA from 1 species